rnacentral:rRNA from 1 species
AACGAACGCUGGCGGCAUGCCUAACACAUGCAAGUCGAACGAGACCUUCGGGUCUAGUGGCGCACGGGUGCGUAACGCGUGGGAAUCUACCCUUUGGUUCGGAAUAUCAGUUAGAAAUGACGGCUAAUACCGGAUGAUGACGUAAGUCCAAAGAUUGACCGCCCAAGGAUGAGCCCGCGUAAGAUUAGCUUGUUGGUGGGGUAAUGGCCUACCAAGGCGACGAUCUUUAGCUGGUCUGAGAGGAUGAUCAGCCACACUGGGACUGAGACACGGCCCAGACUCCUACGGGAGGCAGCAGUGGGGAAUAUUGGACAAUGGGCGAAAGCCUGAUCCAGCAAUGCCGCGUGAGUGAUGAAGGCCUUAGGGUUGUAAAGCUCUUUUACCAGGGAUGAUAAUGACAGUACCUGGAGAAUAAGCUCCGGCUAACUCCGUGCCAGCCGCCGCGGUAA